GCCGGUCCUCGGUAGUGGCUCUCGGGAGUUUCCCGAGGGCUUCGAUCGAUGGCCGGC
rfam:Prauserella sp. Am3 HQ32_scaffold_5.6, whole genome shotgun sequence.